GACGAACGCUGGCGGCGUGCUUAACACAUGCAAGUCGAACGGAAAGGCCCUGCUUUUGUGGGGUGCUCGAGUGGCGAACGGGUGAGUAACACGUGAGUAACCUGCCCUUGACUUUGGGAUAACUUCAGGAAACUGGGGCUAAUACCGGAUAGGAGCUCCUGCUGCAUGGUGGGGGUUGGAAAGUUUCGGCGGUUGGGGAUGGACUCGCGGCUUAUCAGCUUGUUGGUGGGGUAGUGGCUUACCAAGGCUUUGACGGGUAGCCGGCCUGAGAGGGUGACCGGCCACAUUGGGACUGAGAUACGGCCCAGACUCCUACGGGAGGCAGCAGUGGGGAAUAUUGCACAAUGGGCGAAAGCCUGAUGCAGCAACGCCGCGUGCGGGAUGACGGCCUUCGGGUUGUAAACCGCUUUCGCCUGUGACGAAGCGUGAGUGACGGUAAUGGGUAAAGAAGCACCGGCUAACUACGUGCCAGCAGCCGCGGUGAUACGUAGGGUGCGAGCGUUGUCCGGAUUUAUUGGGCGUAAAGGGCUCGUAGGUGGUUGAUCGCGUCGGAAGUGUAAUCUUGGGGCUUAACCCUGAGCGUGCUUUCGAUACGGGUUGACUUGAGGAAGGUAGGGGAGAAUGGAAUUCCUGGUGGAGCGGUGGAAUGCGCAGAUAUCAGGAGGAACACCAGUGGCGAAGGCGGUUCUCUGGGCCUUUCCUGACGCUGAGGAGCGAAAGCGUGGGGAGCGAACAGGCUUAGAUACCCUGGUAGUCCACGCUGUAAACGGUGGGUACUAGGUGUGGGGUCCAUUCCACGGGUUCCGUGCCGUAGCUAACGCUUUAAGUACCCCGCCUGGGGAGUACGGCCGCAAGGCUAAAACUCAAAGGAAUUGACGGGGCCCCGCACAAGCGGCGGAGCAUGCGGAUUAAUUCGAUGCAACGCGUAGAACCUUACCUGGGUUUGACAUGGAUCGGGAGCGCUCAGAGAUGGGUGUGCCUCUUUUGGGGUCGGUUCACAGGUGGUGCAUGGCUGUCGUCAGCUCGUGUCGUGAGAUGUUGGGUUAAGUCCCGCAACGAGCGCAACCCUUGUUCACUGUUGCCAGCACGUUAUGGUGGGGACUCAGUGGAGACCGCCGGGGUCAACUCGGAGGAAGGUGGGGAUGACGUCAAGUCAUCAUGCCCCUUAUGUCCAGGGCUUCACGCAUGCUACAAUGGCUGGUACAGAGAGUGGCGAGCCUGUGAGGGUGAGCGAAUCUCGGAAAGCCGGUCUCAGUUCGGAUUGGGGUCUGCAACUCGACCUCAUGAAGUCGGAGUCGCUAGUAAUCGCAGAUCAGCAACGCUGCGGUGAAUACGUUCCCGGG
rnacentral:rRNA from 1 species